CCUACGGGAGGCAGCAGUGAGGAAUAUUGGUCAAUGGUCGGGAGACUGAACCAGCCAAGCCGCGUGAGGGAGGAAGGUACAGAGUAUCGUAAACCUCUUUUGUCAGGGAACAAAGGCGGGGACGUGUCCCCGGAUGAGUGUACCUGAAGAAAAAGCAUCGGCUAACUCCGUGCCAGCAGCCGCGGUAAUACGGAGGAUGCGAGCGUUAUCCGGAUUUAUUGGGUUUAAAGGGUGCGCAGGCGGUCUGUUAAGUCAGCGGGCAAAGCCCGGGGCUCAACCCCGGCCCGCCGUUGAAACUGGCAGUCUCGAGUUGGAGAGAAGUAUGCGGAAUGCGCGGUGUAGCGGUGAAAUGCAUAGAUAUCGCGCAGAACUCCGAUUGCGAAGGCAGCAUGCCGGCUCCACACUGACGCUGAGGCACGAAAGCGUGGGUAUCGAACAGGAUUAGAUACCCUUGUAGUC
rnacentral:rRNA from 1 species